rnacentral:rRNA from 1 species
CAGGAAAGCAGGGGAUCGCAAGACCUUGCGCUGAUUGAGCGACCGAUAUCAGAUUAGCUAGUUGGUGAGGUAAAGGCUCACCAAGGCGACGAUCUGUAGCGGGUCUGAGAGGAUGAUCCGCCACACUGGAACUGAGACACGGUCCAGACUCCUACGGGAGGCAGCAGUGGGGAAUUUUGGACAAUGGGGGCAACCCUGAUCCAGCCAUGCCGCGUGAGUGAAGAAGGCCUUCGGGUUGUAAAGCUCUUUCGUCCGGGAAGAAAUCGCAUCAGCUAAUACCUGGUGUGGAUGACGGUACCGGAAUAAGAAGCACCGGCUAACUACGUGCCAGCAGCCGCGGUAAUACAAUCACU